GAGUUACAAGGUUAAUUAAAUCAGAAAAACAGUUUAAUUCUAUAACAGUGAAAUUGUCUUCUGAGGAAGCAACCAUCAAUAUAAUAUCCACAUUAGUUUCCUGUUGAUGCAGAAAUUAUUGUAACAAUGCCAGCUUUUUACAGACUCUCUUACAAUCUUCACUCUGCAGCUCUGCUCUUAUCGCAGCCUGUGAAACAAGACAGGAAACUUAGCAAGAGACAUAAGGAAGUUUUUCCUAUAUGUCUGAACCUUUGGCAGUGUUAGAAUAUAUAUAUAUAUAUAUUACCUUUGUAGCAUUAGAUUUCCAGAAGUCAGGGACAGAUUUCCAUCACGGCACAGUUUUCUUUUUUAAGUUACAUUAGGAAAAGUCAGUUGACUUUCAGUUUGUCUGUUCACUGGUAUGAUAAACAUUUUUACUAUCUUGUAAUUAAAAUAAGCAUAGUAAAACCUCUCAUUGUCCUAAAUGUAUAUGCUGUUGUCUGAUUUAACCUAAGUUUCUUCUCUGGUGACCUUCACUUUAUUUAGAAUUCAAGCAAUUGCCAAGAUUUAAAAUUGGGUGUUUUUUCAUACCCUCUCAAAGGGUUAUGUAAUGAUUUGGAAUAUGAGAGUCAGUUAACAUUCACCUUUUGUGUUUCUAGCUUACAAACUUGGAGAGGAAGUGGCAGCAUCUGGAGCAAAAUAAUUUUGUAAUGAAAGAGUUCAUAGCAACCAAGAGUCAGGAGAGUGAUUACCAGCCAGUGAUUAAAAAUGUGAUGAAGCAGAUUGCAGAGUACAAUAAAACCAUCAUGGAUGCUCUCCAUAGUGCCAGCAGAAGCUGAAACGAAGUCCACUGAAUCUACAAGAAUCCACAAGCAUGCUAAAAGUAAAUUAGCUUCCUCUUGAAGAGUUAGACCCCAGGUUUUUAAAUGCCAUGGUUUUGUGAUCUCCUUGACGGAGAGAUAUCUUGCAUAGUUAAAUAAUUCAAUAAAUGUUUGCAUAU
rnacentral:lncRNA from 1 species